rnacentral:tRNA from 1 species
GGGGCUGUGGCUCAGUGGUAGAGCAUCUGCUUGGCUUGAUGAAGGUCUCAGAUUGAAUCCCUGGUGGCUCCA